UACAGAGGGUGCAAGCGUUAAUCGGAAUUACUGGGCGUAAAGCGCGCGUAGGUGGUUCGUUAAGUUGGAUGUGAAAUCCCGGGCUCAACCUGGGAACUGCAUCCAAAACUGGCGAGCUAGAGUAGGGCAGAGGGUGGUGGAAUUUCCUGUGUAGCGGUGAAAUGCGUAGAUAUAGGAAGGAACACCAGUGGCGAAGGCGACCACCUGGGCUCAUACUGACACUGAGGUGCGAAAGCGUGGGGAGCAAACAGG
rnacentral:rRNA from 1 species